UGGGGAAUUUUCCGCAAUGGGCGCAAGCCUGACGGAGCAAUACCGCGUGAGGGAGGAAGGCUUUUGGGUUGUAAACCUCUUUUGUUAAGGAAGAAGCAAGUGACGGUACUUAACGAAUCAGCAUCGGCUAACUCCGUGCCAGCAGCCGCGGUAAUACGGAGGAUGCAAGCGUUAUCCGGAAUUACUGGGCGUAAAGCGUCCGCAGGUGGCCUGUCAAGUCUGCUGUCAAAGACUAGAGCUCAACUCUGGAAAGGCAGUGGAAACUGGGAGGCUAGAGUACGGUAGGGGUUGAGGGAAUUCCCAGUGUAGCGGUGAAAUGCGUAGAUAUUGGGAAGAACACCAGUGGCGAAGGCGCUCAACUGGGCCGUAACUGACACUCAGGGACGAAAGCUAGGGUAGCGAAAGGGAUUAGAUACCCGGGUAGUCC
rnacentral:rRNA from 1 species